rnacentral:rRNA from 1 species
CAUGUGUGCGAGUCAUUGGGCGAACUAAACCCAAAGGCGAAAUGAAAGUGAAGGGCCCCACGGAGGCCCGAGGGCUGAUCCAUCCGCUCCUACUUCCAGGACGGACGGCGCAAGCUCGGGACUUGCACGCCCCAUCGUGGGCGGCGAGUACCAAGAGCGGACAUGUUGGGACCCGAAAGAUGGUGAACUAUGCCUGGCCAGGACGAAGCCAGAGGAAACUCUGGUGGAGGUCCGUAGCGAUUCUGACGUGCAAAUCGAUCGUCGGAGCUGGGUAUAGGGGCGAAAGACUAAUCGAACCAUCUAGUAGCUGGUUCCCUCCGAAGUUUCCCUCAGGAUAGCUGGUGCUCGCCACAGAGUUUCAUCCGGUAAAGCGAAUGAUUAGAGGUCUUGGGGACGAAACGUCCUCAACCUAUUCUCAAACUUUAAAUGGGUGAGAGGUCGGGCUUGCUUGAUUGAAGCCUCGACAGUGAAUCUGGAGUACCUAGUGGGCCAUUUUUGGUAAGCAGAACUGGCGCUGUGGGAUGAACCAAACGUCGAGUUAAGGGGCCUAAAUGGACGCUCAUCAGAUCCCAU